AUUGAACGCUGGCGGCGUGCUUAACACAUGCAAGUCGAGCGGCAGCGCGGGAGCAAUCCUGGCGGCGAGCGGCGAACGGGUGAGUAAUGCUUCGGAAUCUGCUCUUCAGUGGGGGAAUAACCAGUCGAAAGACUGGCUAAUACCGCAUACGAACUGAGGUUGAAAGCAGGGGGAUCGCAAGACCUUGCGCUGAUGGAUGAGCCGAAGUCGGAUUAGCUUGUUGGUGGGGUAAUGGCCUACCAAGGCGACGAUCCGUAGCUGGUCUGAGAGGACGACCAGCCACACUGGGACUGAGACACGGCCCAGACUCCUACGGGAGGCAGCAGUGGGGAAUAUUGGACAAUGGGGGCGAACCCCUCGAUCCAGCGACGCCG
rnacentral:rRNA from 1 species